rnacentral:rRNA from 1 species
GAUGAACGCUGGCGGCGUGCCUAAUACAUGCAAGUCGAGCGAACAGACGAGGAGCUUGCUCCUCUGACGUUAGCGGCGGACGGGUGAGUAACACGUGGAUAACCUACCUAUAAGACUGGGAUAACUUCGGGAAACCGGAGCUAAUACCGGAUAAUAUAUUGAACCGCAUGGUUCAAUAGUGAAAGACGGUUUUUGUGUCACUUAUAGAUGGAUCCGCGCCGCAUUAGCUAGUUGGUAAGGUAACGGCUUACCAAGGCUACGAUGCGUAGCCGACCUGAGAGGGUGAUCGGCCACACUGGAACUGAGACACGGUCCAGACUCCUACGGGAGGCAGCAGUAGGGAAUCUUCCGCAAUGGGCGAGAGCUUGACGGAGCAACGCCGAGUGAGUGAUGAAGGUCUUCGGAUCGUAAAACUCUGUUAUUAGGGAAGAACAAAUGUGUAAGUAACUAUGCACGUCUUGACGGUACCUAAUCAGAAAGCCACGGCUAACUACGUG